UUUUUUUUUACCUUUACAAGCUUCUGAGCUAAGAGAGGACUACAACAAAGUACAUAUACU
rnacentral:sRNA from 1 species